rnacentral:rRNA from 1 species
UAGGGAAUCUUCGGCAAUGGGGGCAACCCUGACCGAGCAACGCCGCGUGAGUGAAGAAGGUUUUCGGAUCGUAAAGCUCUGUUGUAAGAGAAGAACGAGUGUGAGAGUGGAAAGUUCACACUGUGACGGUAACUUACCAGAAAGGGACGGCUAACUACGUGCCAGCAGCCGCGGUAAUACGUAGGUCCCGAGCGUUAUCCGGAUUUAUUGGGCGUAAAGCGAGCGCAGGCGGUUAGAUAAGUCUGAAGUUAAAGGCUGUGGCUUAACCAUAGUACGCUUUGGAAACUGUUUAACUUGAGUGCAGAAGGGGAGAGUGGAAUUCCAUGUGUAGCGGUGAAAUGCGUAGAUAUUGGGAGGAACACCAGUAGCGAAGGCGGCUUUCUGGACUGCAACUGACACUGAGGCACGAAAGCGUGGGUAGCAAACAGGAUUAGAUACCCUGGUAGUCCACGCUGUAAACGAUGAGUACUAGGUGUCGGGGGUUACCCCCCUCGGUGCCGCAGCUAACGCAUUAAGUACUCCGCCUGGGGAGUACGCACGCAAGUGUG